rnacentral:rRNA from 1 species
GACGAACGCUGGCGGCGUGCUUAACACAUGCGAGUCGAACGGUAAGGCCCCUUCGGGGGUACACGAGUGGCGAACGGGUGAGUAACACGUGAGCAACCUGCCCUUGACUUUGGGAUACCAGCUGGAAACAGCUGCUAAUACCGGAUAUGACCUCUUCUCUCAUGGGUUGAGGUGGAAAGCUCCGGCGGUCAGGGAUGGGCUCGCGGCCUAUCAGCUUGUUGGUGAGGUAAUGGCUCACCAAGGCUUCGACGGGUAGCCGGCCUGAGAGGGCGACCGGCCACACUGGGACUGAGAUACGGCCCGGACUCCUACGGGAGGCAGCAGGGGGGAAUAUUGCCCAAUGGGCGCAAGCCUGAUGCAGCAACGCCGCGUGCGGGAUGACGGCCUUCGGGUUGUAACCGCUUUCAGUAGGGACGAAGCUAACGUGACGGUACCUACAGAAGAAGGACCGGCUAACUACGUG